UCCGAGUGUUGCAGGCUUUUAGGUCCAGAUUGGGCCUUGUUAACCACGCUGUCGUCAUCGAGUUUGAGAGUGUUGGCUAUGGAUCGAGCCAACCACGACAUUGCAAAUUAAUACAAGCGGGCAGGAUAAGUGUUGAGUUGACUUUGAUUCUCCAAUUGCCGACAAUGACUUUGGGUGGGGGAGGGUUUGAGAAGAGAGACG
rnacentral:lncRNA from 1 species